AGAGUUUGAUCCUGGCUCAGGACGAACGCUGGCGGCGUGCCUAACACAUGCAAGUCGAACGGGGAUUUUGUUUCGGCAGAAUCCUAGUGGCGAACGGGUGAGUAACGCGUAGGCAACCUGCCCUCCGGCCGGGGACAACACUCCGAAAGGGGUGCUAAUACCGGAUACGAAGUCUGUGCCGCAUGGUACGGAUUUGAAAGAUGGCCUCUAUUUAUAAGCUAUCGCCGGGGGAUGGGCCUGCGUCCGAUUAGCUGGUUGGUGGGGUAACGGCCUACCAAGGCGACGAUCGGUAGCCGGUCUGAGAGGAUGAACGGCCACAUUGGGACUGAGACACGGCCCAGACUCCUACGGGAGGCAGCAGUGGGGAAUCUUCCGCAAUGGGCGCAAGCCUGACGGAGCAACGCCGCGUGAGUGAGGAAGUUCUUCGGAACGUAAAGCUCUGUUGUUCCUGACGAACCUCCCUUCUAUCAACAACGGAGGGGACUGACGGUAGGGAACGAGGAAGCCACGGCUAACUACGUGCCAGCAGCCGCGGUAAUACGUAGGUGGCAAGCGUUGUCCGGAAUUAUUGGGCGUAAAGCGCAUGUAGGCGGUAAUUUAAGUCUGUCGUGAAACUGCGGGGCUCAGCCCCGUAUGGCGAUGGAAACUGGGUUACUUGAGUGCAGGAGAGGAAAGGGGAACUCYCAGUGUAGCGGUGAAAUGCGUAGAUAUUGGGAAGAACACCGGUGGCGAASGCGCCUUUCUGGACUGUGUCUGACGCUGAGAUGCGAAAGCCAGGGUAGCGAACGGGAUUAGAUACYCCGGUAGUCCUGGACCGUAAACGAUGGGUACUAGGUGUGGGAGGUAUCGACCCCUUCCGUGCCGGAGUUAACGCAAUAAGUACCCCGCCUGGGGAGUACGGCCGCAAGGCUUAAACUCAAAGGAAUUGACGGGGGCCCGCACAAGCGGAGGAACAUGUGGUUUAAUUCGAUGAUACGCGAGGAACCUUACCCGGGCUUGAACUGCAGCAGAACGAUUGAGAGAUCAUGAGGUCCUUCGGGACUGCUGUGGAGGUGCUGCAUGGUUGUCGUCAGCUCGUGCCGUGAGGUGUCGGCUUAAGUGCCAUAACGAGCGCAACCCCUCUCUUCAGUUGCCAUCACUUCGGGUGGGCACUCUGGAGACACUGCCACCGUAAGGUGUGAGGAAGGUGGGGAUGACGUCAAAUCAGCACGGCCCUUACGUCCGGGGCUACACACGUGUUACAAUGGGUGGUACAGAGCGUCGGCCGCCGGCAACGUCGGUCCAAUCGUGAAAUCCAUCCUCAGUUCGGACUGGGGUCUGCAACCCGACCCCACGAAGCUGGAUUCGCUAGUAAUCGCGCAUCAGCCAUGGCGCGGUGAAUACGUUCCCGGGCCUUGUACACACCGCCCGUCAAGCCAUGAAAGCCGGGGGCGCCUGAAGUCCGUGACCGCGAGGGUCGGCCUAGGGUGAAACCGGUGAUUGGGGCUAAGUCGUAACAAGGUAGCCGUA
rnacentral:rRNA from 1 species